rnacentral:misc_RNA from 1 species
AGGGUGAAGAAGAACUGGGAGCCGUUGUCGUCUUUGCCAGCGUUGGCGCUGCCGACCAGACCGCGCCGGUUGAAGCGGAGACGAGAGUGAAACUCAUCCUGUUGGGUAAAACAUGUUUGAGAGCAUUUUGAAGGAUUAGCAGCAGUAUUCAGCCAGCAACCACAUGACUACUACCACGUGCUGCACUUACCUCACAACCCCCCACUUCACCCCGUGCUAGUCACAGCUCCUCGCACCACCUUCACUUGCGAGGGUCGCCCGAGAGGGUACUAUGCUGAUGUCCAGGCCGGCUGUCAGGCGUAUCACUUCUGUUGGCGCCAACAUCUAGUGAGCACAGACCUGUGCGCUAAUGGUACGCUGUUCAACGAACAGUUUCAAGUAUGUGAUCAUUUCUACAACGUGCGGUGCGGAUCUCCUUACGAAGAUUUGUAAAUAAUUUAGUUUUAAAUGUAAAUAAAAUUAAAAAUAUAAAUUAUUUAUUAUAGCUGUAA